rnacentral:sRNA from 1 species
GCUUGAAUUUCAUUGAGAUUAUUACUUGCAAGUAAGACAUCAUCAACAUAUACCAAGAGCACCAUAAAUGAAUCAGCAGUAGUUUGAAGACAUAAUGAGGAAUUAGACUUGGUUUGUUGAAAUCCAUAUGAAAUGAGGCUGGUAGUGAGCUUUGCAAACCAUUUUCUAGAUGCAUGUUUGAGUUUGUGCUUUUAUUUAGUUUACAAACCAAGGAGGUGUCAUGAAUCGGAUAUCCCUGUGGUAACUCCUUAUAGACUUCCUCAUGUAAGUCACUUUGCAAAAAGGUAUUGUUGACAUUUAAUUGGUGUAAAAAAUAAUUGUUUACUGCUGUAAUAGCUAUAAGCAUACAUAACGAAGUCAAUUUUGAAACAGGAGAAAAGUGUUAAAAAAAUCUAGGCCUUCCUGUUGGGUAUAUCUCUGAGCCACCAGCCAUGCUUAUCUUUUCAUAGUCCCAUCUGCUUUAUACUUGACUUUAUAAACACUUGCUCCCAAUGGUAUGUUUGUCAUAUAGUAGAUGCAUAAAGGUCCAAAUAUUAAUCAUUUCAAGAGCUUUAACUUCACUAUUCAUACCUUCUUACCAAUGGAGAUAUUUAAUAGUUUGGUCAUAGAAUUUUGGUUCAAAAGUAUUAGAGAGUGAUGUAGUAAAGGCCUUGUGUUUGGGAACUAAAUGAUUAGUGGAAAUAUAGUGAGAUAAGGGAUAUGGUUUACUAGAUGUACAUGGUCUAGCCAGCAUUGUAGAAGGCUGGACUAGUGUGGAAGAAAAAGGUAAAUUACACUAAUAAUCAUUUAGGUAAGGAGACAAAUGUCUGAUUCUGUUAGAUCUUCUAGGAGGAGGUUGGAAAUAAGAGAUGGGUAGAUUGUUUGGCAACUCAGGAUAGUUUAAAGGAGUGUUUGAGGGAGGAGAAAUGAGUCGGUCAAUUUCUGAACCCUCGUGACAUUUGAAAGCUUUUUAUUUGGUAAAACUUCAUGUAUGCAUAUGGAUGCACUGACGUUCUUGAAUAUGUCAUGAUAAUCAUUAAUAACAUAAUAAUCAAAUAUUAAGAUCACAUAAUAACCAAUUUCAAGUAACACAUUUAUACAUUUAAUAAUAUAAACCUUGAAUCCUAACAAUAUCCUUUUCUUGAAUGACAAGUGACGAUCCUCCGAACCACUCAAGAAAUCAACGUGCCCAAAA